rnacentral:piRNA from 1 species
UGGCCUAACGCACCAUGUGAUGUGUC